rnacentral:tRNA from 1 species
UGAUAUGGCUCAGUUGGUAGAGCAGCUCAUUCGUAAUGAGCAGGUCGUCGGUUCGAGUCCGACUAUCA